GGGGUGUGCAGCAGGAAGCUGACCGUCCCGAGCCAAGCUGGGCUGGCUGCCCCCUCCCGACCUCGGGGCCCGUCCCUCCCGAGGUGGGGCUGCUCUCUUUGCUUCUCUUGCACAGGGCUCUGGGGUUUCCCCUUCGGCUCCCUCAUCAGAGGUUGUUUUCAGGCAGAGAUGAGUAUGAGUCAUUCACAUGCUGGUGAGAGCGAGCCCGCAGACACUCCCCGGAUUCACUCAGUAAAUACUAACCGAGGGCCACUGGGUUCCAAGGGCAGGAGGGCUAUGAAGACAGCUCCCUGCCCCGCGAGUUCAGGGUGAGAGUGGGACGGAGGAGAAGGCUGGUGGGGCGGGAGAGCGCUCCCUGCGGGCGCUGUCUUCUUAGAAGAGGGAUGUUGCUCCCUGUGGACUAGAGGUGGUGGAGGAAGCUCUCUGGAGGAGCAGGAAAGAGGUGUGGUGUGGCCAGGCGCAGGGCAGCCCGGCACAGCCUCGCCCAGACCAAGUGGGAAGAGGCCCCAGGGCCAGCCCCAGGCGGGCAGACCCAGCCGGGUGGUGUCCAGAGCAGCCCUGGGCCCAGGAGAGGGAGACUCGGGCACCUCUUGGGGUGAAGCUGGCUGAGCAGGGUGGGUGUGGGGCGAGAGGAGGGGCAGAGAGGGCCAACGGGUCUGUGAUGGGUGGACGGCGUUGUGGCCGCGGCGGCACCCCAGUGGUCCCUCCGCGUGGGACCCCUCACGCUGCCGUGGAGGGCAGGUCCUGUCCCCUGCCCCUCUCUGGCGUCACCCCACACCCGUGGUGGCUCCCCCUCCCUCACCCAAGUGAGGGCUGCUGGUAUCUGGGGAGGAGAUAGGAGACCUCGAGGGUCAAUGUUUUUAACUAUGGUUCCUCAUGCUCCCUGAGGAGAGAGGAAGGGGCAGGUCCCUGUCCCUGCGUCUGCCUGUCUUGUGUGGCAGCUCAGGGUCACUGUGAGGCCUCCCUCCCUGCCCCUCUGAUCCCUCACGGGCUGUGUGGGGCCACACCUGUGUGGGGCUCUGCUUGUGUUCUUGGGCUACUGGGGACACUAAGUCCUUGUCACGGUCUAGAAGGUCACCUGGCUGUGCUAAGGAGCAGCUGUCUGGCGGACCCCUCUGCCCUGUCACUCUGCUUCCCGGCCUCUGUGCCCUGCACGUGGAGAGCAGAGGCAGCCUGCUGGGGCAGCGUUGGGGUAGGGACGGGGCGGCAGGGCUCUUCCCACGGCCUCGCUGCCCUGCCACGGUGUCGGGUUGGGAAGGAGGUCUGGAGACCCGCAGGGCUUGGGUGACAAGCUGCUGUCACUCUCUGGGGCAGUCAGUCCGUGCCUGGCCUCUGGUGCUCUGAGCCCAGCCUGGAGCCCUGACCUGGAGCAGCAGGGGCCGGUUUUCCCCCCUAGGCUGACCUCCCUGGCUGCAUGGGAUGAGGUACCGUGUUUCAGAGCCACUCGGAGCCCCAGGACAAUUUGGCCAUUGUCAGAAGACACUGAAGCUUCGGGGUUUGAUCUGUUGCUUUUGCUGAGAUCUGUGGAGUUCCCGGCAGCACAGAGGUGUAAUUAGCAAAGGAACGAGGACUCUCCUAGUCUCUGCAGGUUAAACUUGGCAUUAGCACUGCUGGAUUUGGAUCACAAGGAUGAAAGUAAUCAUCUAAUUAAUGACUCAAUCUGCUGUGUUUUAAAAAGGAUUACCCAGGAUUAUUUGAUCAGGGGGAACAUACCGGACCGAAGACGAGCUCUGCACCCUCCCCGGCCAGGCAACACACACAGAGAGCCUUCCUCAAAGGAGGAGGCCAAGAGCCUCUCCAAGAGCCCUGGCACCUGUGCUGCAAACCUUCUCUCCUGGAAUGGGGUGUGGUCCAGUGGGACAGGAUGUGCCAGCAGUUGCUGUGACAGUGAACGACCCCACAGAAGAUGGGGAGAGCAAGGUCCCCAGUGUCCUGCGCGGCCUCACUUUUUCCAGAUUCAUCUUCAUGAGACAAACAAAAAUCCGUGUGUCCAGGUCGACGUCAGAGGGCGUUUCUGCUCUUUAUACCCCACGUCAGUUAGACAGAGGGAGCCGAGCCCUGAGCGAAGGCAGCAAGUCUACGUGCACCAGGAGACGGAGGAGAGAGAGCAGAGGUGCUGCGCUGGACGUUCCAGGGGCCUCCCCGUGGAGCGACAGUGGGGUUGGAGCGUGGGAGGGUGAAGGGCAAGGUGGCCGUGAGGGGGCUGGGAAAGUGCUGCAUUUGAUCCCGAUUCCAACUUUGCUGGUCCAGGAAGGCAGCGCCAUGGGGGGGUGCCAGGAAGAGGGGGAGCCGGAGUUGGGGCUGGAGAUCAGCGCUCCAGCAGCCUGGAGGGCAGCGGGAGAGGGCAGUGCCGUGGGUUCUGGCUGGAGCCGCUGGUGGCACACUGGGUGUAGAGGGCACCCUCAUGGAGGACACAGAGGCAGUAGCCAGGUGGUCAGGGGCUUUUAGUGUGCACUGGAGGAAUGACAACCCCGGGGACAGGAGGGACUCUUAGGGAAGGACAGUGGCAUUCCUCUUGUCUGGCCAUAGGAGCAGAACAGGCCGAUAGGUGGACACCCCAGGAGCGGCCUGGCCAGCAGCAGGAGGCUCCAGGCUGCAAAGGCUGCUUCCAGGAGCACGUGCAGAGCUACAGGCCCCAGUGACAGACACGGGCCCCGUGGGAUGGUGCUGUGCAGGGGGGGCACGGGGCUGCAUGGGGACCCCAAGGCCCAGCCAGGCCAGGUCAUCAGGCUGGCCUCUACCAGGAGUGAUCAGGAAUGUGGAGGUGUCCUCUCAGCUGAGGAAGUCCUCACAAACCCUCUGCAUUUGAAAGUAUCCUAAUGAGUUUCAUCCACACACUUAGGGUCCCAGCCUAGCCCCCCGCCAGUUCUGCUGAGGACACUCAUUCAGCCGGCAGCUGGGCAGAACAUUGGCCACUCCUCAGGAAGCACAGGUCAUUGGCUGCACAUGGUCCUUAGACUGAGGUCAAGGUGUUCAUAAGGGGUACGUCCUUCUGAAGCUGGAAAUCUACAGGUGGAACCACAUCAGCCAGGCGCCCACAGGUGCACAACCGAGCAGGACUGGGCCCAAUGGCAGGGCACGCUUGGGUAGAAGGGACAUGUCCUGGGAGAAGACUGGGCCUCUAGUCUGGGAAGUCAGGAAGGAGGUGAGGGACGGAUGUCACGGUGUGUGUGUGGGAAGUGCCUGAGAUGAUGUGGAUGACAGAUAAGACACCUCCUGGCACAAGGGUCAGGGUAGCUGGGGAGGGAGAGGCCUAUGGGCCCUGGGAGCCCUGGGUAAGCACAGGCUGGAGGUCAGGAAAAAAGGUUCCCAAGUAGCAGACAGUAGGGCCAGGGCAAGGUUUAUGCAAAGGGACAUGGGAGUGGGACAGGGGAUCUGGCAGAGGAUCCGAAGGGCUUGAGCACAAAGAUACAUCUGGUGACAGAUGCAAGAUGAGCAGAUGACAUGGCUCCCAAUUACCAGGGACAGUGUGGUGACUUCCCCAUGGGAAUCAGGCUCCUAACUCCUGGGACAGUGUGUUGAGGUUCCCCAGGAGAAUCAGGCUCCUAACCCCUGGGACAGUGUGUUGAGGUUCCCCAGGGGAUUCAGGCUCCUAAAUCCUGGGACAGUGUGUUGAGGUUCCCCAGGGGAAUCAGGCUACUAACUCCUGGGACAGUGUGUUGAGGUUCCCCAGGGGAUUCAGGCUCCAAACUCCUGGGACAGUGUGUUGAGGAUCCCCAGGGGAAUCAGGCUCCAAACUCCUGGGACAGUGUGUUGAGGUUCCCCAGGGGAAUCAGGCUCCAGACCCCUGGGACAGCGUGUUGAGGUUCCCCAAGAGACACAAGCUCCACACUCCUGGGACAGUGUGUUGAGGUUCCCCAGGGGAAUCAGGCUCCAGACCCCUGGGACAGUGUGUUGAGGUUCCCCAAGAGACUCAGGCUCCAAACUCCUGGGACAGUGUGUUGAGAUUCCCCAGGGGAAUCAGGCUCCAAACUCCUGGGACAGUGUGUUGAGGUUCCCCAGGGGAAUCAGGCUCCAAACUCCUGGGACAGUGUGUUGAGGUUCCCCAGGGGAAUCAGGCUCCAAACUCCUGGGACAGUGUGUUGAGGUUCCCCAGGGGAAUCAGGCUACUAACUCCUGGGACAGUGUGUUGAGGUUCCCCAGGGGAAUCAAGCUCCAGACUCCUGGAACAGUGUGUUGAGGUUCCCCAAGAGACUCAGGCUCCAAACUCCUGGGACAGUGUGUUGAGAUUCCCCAGGGGAAUCAAGCUCCUAACUCCUGAGACAGUGUGUUGAGGUUCCCCAGGGGAAUCAGGCUCCAUACUCCUGGACACUAUGUGUUGGGGUUCCCCAGGGGAAACAGGAUCGAAACUCCUGAGACAGUGUGUUAACGUUCCCCAGGUGUAUCUCGCUCCCAACUCCUGGGACAUUGUGUUGAGUUUCCCCAGGGAUUUAGGCUCCUAAAUCCUGGGACAGUGUGUUGAGGUUCUCCAGUGGAAUCAGUCUCCUAACUCCUGGGACAGUGUGUUGAGGUUCCCCAAGAGAAUCAGGCUCCAAACUCCUGGGAGAGUGUGUUGAGGUUCCCCAGUGGAAUCAGGCUCCAUACUCCUGGACUGAGUACUGAGGUUCCCCAUGGGAAUCAGUCUCCUAACUCCUGGGACAGUGUGUUGAGCAUCCUCAGGGGAAUCUUGCUCCAGACUCCUGGGACAGUGUGUUGAGGUUCCCCAGGGGAAUCAGGUUCCAGACUCCUAGGACAGUGUGUUGAGCAUCGCCAGGGGAAUCAGGCUCCAGUCUCCUGGGACAGUGUGUUGAGGUUCCCCAGGGGAAUCAGGUUCCAGACUCCUGGGACAGUGUGUUGAGCAUCGCCAGGGGAAUCAGGCUCCAGUCUCCUGGGACAGUGUGUUCAGGUUCCCCAGGGGAGUCAGGUUCCAAACUCCUGGGACAGUGUGUUGGCUUCCCCAAGUGAAUCAGGCUCCUACCUCCUGGACAGUAUGUUGAGGUUCCCCAGGGGAAUCAGGCUCCAGACUCCUGGGACAGUGUGUUGAGGAUCCCUAGGGGUAUCAGGUUCCAGAUUCCUUGGACAGUGUGUUGUGGAUGGCCAAUGGAAUCAGGCUCCUAACUUCAGGGACAGUGUGUUGAGGAUCCUCAGGGGAAUCAGGCUUCAGACUCCUGGGACAGUGUGUUGAGGUUCCCCAGGGGAAUCAGGAUCCUAACUUCUAGGACAGUGUGUUGAGGAUCCCCAGGGGAAUCAGCUUCCAGACUCCUUGGACAGUGUGUCGUGGAUCACUAGUGGAAUCAGGCUCCUAUCUUCUAGGACAGUGUGUUGAGAUUCCCCAGGGGAAUCAGGCUUUAGAGUCCUGGGACAUUGUGUUGAGUUUCCGCAGGGGAAUCAAGCUCCUAACUCCUGGGACAGUAUGUUGAGGUUCCCCCGGGGAAUCAGACUCCAGACUCCUGGGACAGUGUGUUGUGGAUCCUCAGGGGAAUCAGGCUCCUAACUCCUGGGACAUUGUGUUGAGGUUCCCCAGGGGAAUCAGGCUUGUUUGUGCAGACUUCACAGUCCAACUCUUGGCCACCAAAUGGCCAUCCAAACCCUCAGAGGUGUUUUGUGCUCACAGAAAAGCACUUAUCAUUUCUUUAACAUUUUCUGUUACAUUUCAUGCUUGAAGACUACCCAGAAAUAACUAUAAAGUGACAAAAUAUGAAUAAACUGCAAAAUUGAACAGAGUAAAAUUCACAAGGGGCCCCAAUUCUGACACCAUGUAGACAGUAAAUGACUAAAAAUUCUAAAUGAGCACAGAAAACGUCUGUUGUGUCAAAUAGAUUAAUUCCAGCAGUCUAAUACAUAUACUUAAUUAAAAUACUGAAACCGUCUGUCCAGGGCUUCUCGGUGAAUCUUUAAUUAGCUGUUGCAGUUACAUUGUGCAGCAGAGAGAAAGGUCUUUGAGCUAAUUUUUUCUCUAGCAGAUUUGGAAACUUGGAAAGUGACAUAAAAAUAUUUCUUUUGGUGACAUUUGAGAAAAGAAAGGAAUGUCCAUUGUGUGUCCCUCUGUAGCCAACUCGGAGGAGAAUUCCAGCUGCAGCCUUCGACUGCCCUCUGUGUCCAGCCUGCCUCCAAGGUGCUCUGACCUCCAGUUCAGAUUAUAUCUGGUGGUUCUAUUUGAGGAAAAUAGUUUCCUUUUUAAAAUAAUGUAAUUGUGCUGAAAAACAUGUAACAUCAAAUUUCCCAUCUUCUCCGUCUUUACGCUCCAGUUUCGUAGUAUAAAGUAUUUCCAUGUCACUGUACAAAGUCUCUAGAACUUUGUUUUACAAAACCAG